rnacentral:rRNA from 1 species
UGGGGGAUAUUGCACAAUGGGCGCAAGCCUGAUGCAGCGACGCCGCGUGGGGGAUGAAGGCCUUCGGGUUGUAAACUUCUUUUGCUCUGAACAAGGCGCACUUUGGGGUGUGUUGAGUGUAGGGGUUGAUUAGCGCCGGCUAACUACGUGCCAGCAGCCGCGGUAAUACGUAGGGCGCGAGCGUUGUCCGGAAUUAUUGGGCGUAAAGGGCUUGUAGGUGGCUGGUUGCGUCUGUCGUGAAAGCUCAUGGCUUAACUGUGGGUUUGCGGUGGGUACGGGCUGGCUUGAGUGCAGUAGGGGAGGCUGGAAUUCCUGGUGUAGCGGUGGAAUGCGCAGAUAUCAGGAGGAAUACUGGUGGCGAAGGCGGGUCUCUGGGCUGUUACUGACACUGAGGAGCGAAAGCAUGGGGAGCGAACAGG